UAUGUAGGGGGCUAGCGUUGUCCGGAAUCAUUGGGCGUAAAGCGCGUGUAGGCGGCCCGGUAAGUCCGCUGUGAAAGUCGGGGGCUCAACCCUCGGAAGCCGGUGGAUACUGUCGGGCUCGAGUCCGGAAGGGGCGAGUGGAAUUCCUGGUGUAGCGGUGAAAUGCGCAGAUAUCAGGAGGAACACCGGGUGGCGAAGGCGGCUUCCUGGACCGACACUGACGCUGAGGCGCGAAAGCUAGGGGAGCAAACGGG
rnacentral:rRNA from 1 species